rnacentral:snRNA from 1 species
CUGUAUGUAUAUACUCUGCAUU